CCAAGAGCCACACAAACAACAUUCAGCUACUGUAUGCAUCUUUGAAAAUAGUUGUGGGCCUGAUUCCAAAGCUGGCCUCUGCAGCCAAGAUUCCUGUUAAUACCCUGUCUCAGACACUUCAGACAGAAAAUAGAUUAAUACUCAAGUAGGAAAUCAAGCCUUUCCAAUAUGUCUCUGUGGAUCUCAAGUCCAGAUGGUGACCAGAGUCUCGGUUGCAAGUAUGCUUACAAGGAUAUGAAGACAUUGCUGGAUCAGCUCUGGUUGUUCCUGAGUUACUCUCCCUCUGGAAUUCAAAGGCUGAACUGGAAAUAAAGCUGGUGAAAGUUGAUGGGCCAAGAAGAAUAGAAGUCUGUGAAUGAAGAAGGUUUUAAUGAAGAAAGGACAAGGAGUAUGAAUGCUUUAAUUUUUAAUUCUCCACUGCGGAAAUUUAAAAUAUUACCUUUUCCACUUGUAGUGGUGUAGCCUGGAAAUUUAAAGUAUUACAUAGUGAGCGUCUCCUUUUACGACAAUAGGUUUCCAUCUAGCCGUGUGUUGCAUCCCACUCAGGCUGUGAAUGUGGUACUGAAAGAAAUGAGUGAUGUGCUGCACAUAGGGAUGCAUUAAUAUCAUUGUUUUUCUGACAGGUUUCUAUUGAGCUGCCUAAAAUACUGCUGAUAAUACAGAGUUCCAGUACCUGCUCUGCUUCAUUGAUAAUUUGGUCUGCUAUAACUAGAAAAAAUAUAAUAGAUUAUUUAUAAAUCUGGGCUUUUAUAUAAAGAGCAAAGCUUAUUUUCUUUACAGCCUCUUAGAUUUAAAGCUAUAAAAGAAGUGAAGUAAAUUAAAUUGCUGCUUACAUAUAAUUACAUAAAAUUCACAUCUUAAAAAGGCAGUGCUCUACAUAAAGAUCAGUGAAUUGAACCACUGAAUAUAUCAAGCAAAAUUCAAUUAUAAAGCAAAACAUUGGAUCAAUCUUAUCAGGCCAUGUGCAUGUUAUGAAAAGCAACUUUUAAAUUUUAACAUCCCAAAGCAAAUUAGAAACUUUGAUUUGUUGUUAUUGUUGUUGUCUCCCACUGAGUUAACAUACUGAGGCCCAGAAACAAGAUGCAUUCAUUCAACAGCAGGAAACUAUGUCCCUAGAUGA